rnacentral:rRNA from 1 species
GAUGAACGCUGGCGGCGUGCUUAACACAUGCAAGUCGAACGAGAAAUGGAGACGGAAACCUUCGGGCGGAAGGCUUCAUUUCGAGUGGCGGACGGGUGAGUAACGCGUGGGUAACCUGCCUCAUACAGGGGGAUAACAGUUGGAAACGACUGUUAAUACCGCAUAAGACCACAGCACCGCAUGGUGCGGGGGUAAAAACUCCGGUGGUAUGAGAUGGACCCGCGUUCGAUUAGCCAGUUGGCGGGGUAACGGCCCACCAAAGCGACGAUCGAUAGCCGAUCUGAGAGGCUGCCCGGCCACAUUGGGACUGAGGCCCGGACCACACUCCUACGGGAGGCAGCAGUGGGGAAUAUUGCACAAUGGGGGAAACCCUGAUGCAGCGACGCCGCGUGAGUGAAGAAGUACUUCGGUAUGUAAAGCUCUAUCAGCAGGGAAGAAAAUGACGGUACCUGAGUAAGAAGCCCCGGCUAACUACGUG